rnacentral:rRNA from 1 species
GCACAAGCGGUGGAGUAUGUGGUUUAAUUCGACGCAACGCGCAGAACCUUACCAGCCCUUGACAUCCCGGUCGCGGACUCCAGAGACGGAGUUCUUCAGUUCGGCUGGACCGGAGACAGGUGCUGCAUGGCUGUCGUCAGCUCGUGUCGUGAGAUGUUGGGUUAAGUCCCGCAACGAGCGCAACCCCCGUCCUUAGUUGCUACCAUUUAGUUGAGCACUCUAAGGAGACUGCCGGUGAUAAGCCGCGAGGAAGGUGGGGAUGACGUCAAGUCCUCAUGGCCCUUACGGGCUGGGCUACACACGUGCUACAAUGGCGGUGACAAUGGGACGCUAAGGGGCAACCCUUCGCAAAUCUCAAAAAGCCGUCUCAGUUCGGAUUGGGCUCUGCAACUCGAGCCCAUGAAGUUGGAAUCGCUAGUAAUCGUGGAUCAGCAUGCCACGGUGAAUACGUUCCCGGGC